UUUUUUUUUUAACCUGUUCGGGGUUUUCUUGGGUUUCGAUCUACUGUUGUUGAGCCCAGGCCAGUCCCUGACUGUUAAGUUAAUAAUAUAGCCUAAAUUCAUUUUGCAGAAAUCGGGAUACGUACUGACCAUGUUCAGUAGAUGUGAUCACUUUCUCUGUCUGUGUUUAACGGUGCAGUUUUUAACACUUCAACAGCAUAAAUCCUUCGGAGAACUGAAACGUGACGUCGGCCACAAUAAAGUUGAGAGGUCUGUCUGACUUACUACAUGUAAUACAUUAAAAACGAGACUGCAGUGAGAUCAUAGGGUUUGGCCAUCUAGACCACCGUUUCGGAACUGUUGGGUUGCGAUAAAAAUGUGGAUCCACAGUGGAUCGUUCAGUGUGUGGUUAAAAAGUAUGUAAGUAUAUGUGGGGGACCUUUCUGGGCAAAUUUUUAAUCCCAAUACAGCCCUGGGUAGUGUUUAAACAGUAAAUAAAUAAACAGACAGACAAAUAAAUUUCCUUCCAGAUUAAUAAAGUAUUUAUAUAUGGAUGUAUGUAUUUAUCUAUCUAUUGUUGGUAAUUAACAAACAAAUGGCUCUUUGUGUAUCUUUUAAAUGAAGUUUCUGAAAAUAAAUACACACUUGGGUUAAGGUUGACAUGAUGCUAUGACACGUUACUUGUUUGGUAAUGAUUUCAAGCCAACUUGAAAAGUAUGAAUAGUAAGAUGUUUCUUAGGUUACUCCCUCCUGUGUAUGCAGGCAGUAGGUAACAUUGUGUGUUAAAAUGUCCAUGCAGUCUCUAAAAAACAGGGUUAACUGUGAUCACUUGUUAUAUGGACCCUCUGAUCACAGGCACAGAGGCUUAGUUUUGUGCAUUUUUGAGAUUUUGCCAUAAUUAUUUUUCAGGAUAUUUUAAUAGGCCUAAAACUGAAUCAUGGACAUCAGUCCUUAACCUUCUGAGCUGCCAGCAAACACAAUCCCUUACAUUUGUACUGUUCAGACGAUUCUCUAAGGAGCAUCCUGGAGCAUUUAGAACGUUGCAAAUUAUGCAUUUAUUUGUUGGAAGCCAAGUAGCCUGCGUACAGAGUGAAGCAAAAUCCAAAACGUAUUAUACUUUUAAAAUAUAUUGUUAUGCUUUUAUCAUAAUUAUUACUCUAAGUCAUAUCGUCUUGGUAUGGAAGCCCAUUUCCGCCACAAAAAGAAAAAAAAUAAGUCAUAAUAACGAGAAACCUUCUCAUUAUUACGACUUAGUAUCUCAUAAUAACGAGUAACCUCAUUUUUACGACUUAGUUUCUCGUUAUUAUGAGAUACUUUCUCAUUAUUACGACUUAGUAUCUCAUAAAACCGAGAAACUUUCUCAUUAUUACGACUUAGUAUCUCAUAAUAACGAGAAAGUUUUUUUCCCACGAGAUUUUGUUUUUUACAACAAGAUUUAUUCUUCUUUCUCAGGACUUCGACUUAAAUGGUCAUAAUAACCGGGAGAUGUGGGAAAUGUGUACAACAAGCUGAGGUGACUGUUGCUAUACAGUUAGCGGAGUUAUGUUUGCUAAGCAUGUUCAGCAGUACUUUAAACGGGGCUUCACAAAUAAAGAAAUACUAAUGUUGCUGAAAGAGUUCCAUGGAGUUCAAAUUAGCAAUCGAACCCUCGAGCGAAUUCUGUACAGACGUCAGCUUUGGAGAAAAAAGAACAAAACUGACGAGGCUGAUGUGGCAGCAUUCAUUCAACAACAGCUACAAGCAUCGGGUCAGUCGCACGGCUAUAGAUGGAUGCAUCAGAAAUGUUGGUUACAUGGGAUUAUUACUGACAGAGAGACAGUUCGCAUGAUAUUGCGAUUACUAGACAGUCAGGGAGUAGAUCUAAGGGCAAAUAAUCGACUGCGUCGGAGAGUGUACAAUAGCCGUGGUCCCAAUUACGUAUGGCACAUCGAUGGAUAUAAGUUAAAACCGUACGGCAUUGCCAUAAGUGAAUGUAUCGACGGGUUUUCCCGGAAAAUAAUUUGGCUCGAAUCUUACAAAACAAAAAAUGAUCCACGCGUUAUUGCGGGAUAUUAUAUAACAGCUGUUUCUGAAUACGAAGGAUGCCCUACAAGAGUCAGACUGGACCAUGGAACGGAGAACAGUUAUAUCACAGAUAUGCAAAGAUUUUUUCAGCCCAAUGAAAAUGUUGCGGCACAGUGUGUCUCUUUCGGCCCAAGUACUACUAAUCAACGAAUUGAAAGAUGGUGACUCACUCUCCGAAGCCAGUGCGCACAAUUUUGGAUGAACAUCUUUGACACUCUCAAAGAAGAUGGACAUUUUAUGGACACGUUUCUGGACGAAUCGCUGAUCCAGUUUUGUUUCCAAAACAUGAUUCAGGAGGAACUGGAUGAAAUUGCGUCUGCAUGGAACAAUCACAGAAUAAGACCAGUCCACAACUCGAGGUCCCCUAACAGACGUCCCUUACUGAUGUAUACAGUACCUCAUUUAUAUGGAGCUACAGAUUUCUUGCAGAAUGUGAACCCUGAGCUGGUUGACUUGUGUCUUGAAGACUGUUUGUUUAAAGAUUGUCCUUGUGAUGAAGAUGUAUGUCAUGUUUGUGUUGAACUAAUGUCAGAGUAUAAUCUGUCAUGCAUUUAUAUUCAUACAGAUUUCAAUGAGAAUAAAGUACAAAACAGACUCAUUCUAAAUUUAAAUUCACAUUGUAUUAUUUAUUAGUCUAAACACUGUUUAUUAGUCCAUUUUUUGUCUUAAAUGACUUUGUUUUAAUGUAUUCCUGUGCAAUAUCCAAUACAUUAACAGAAAUAAAUUGUAUAGAGUGAAAAUAAAGUGCACAGCACCAAAACAUCUAAGUUUCUUAUAACGAUAAUUAUAUAUAUAAAAAAUCUCAGAAUAAAAUGUCUAAAACAUC